rnacentral:lncRNA from 1 species
CUCCUCCCUCCCUCCCUCCCCACCCACCCCCCAAACGCCCUGCCUGGGAAAGUUGCUUUAAGAUCAAUCUUAACGCCUCCUGCCUAGAUAUGGAGAGGAGAGCAGGCAGGUUGACCUUUGGGGAGGUGAAGGAAACAGCAAGUGGAAGGUGAGAUCUUCACUUGAAAAUGCAAAGAGGACGUUGCUGCGUUGGAGACAACUACGGAUAUGGGCUGUUGGUGUUAAGGCACCCAGGGAUGAAACCUUAGAGAAACCCAGGUCAUCUUCUGCUUUUGGUCNGUGCACCCCGCCCCCUGUAAAAAAACAUUGUAAUCAGUAUUUUAAGGCCAGGGAUAAUAGAUAUCUAUAGUGCAAUCCUAACUACAGUAUUCAGAAGUAAAUUCAUUUGCGUUCAGAGGCGUUUAUUCUUAGGAGAGCAAAGUGAGAACUGCACCUUUUAAUGCUGGCAAUGCUAAAAAUAUUUUUCUCUGUUGGGGGUACCUCCCAUUGAAAUCAGUAGGCUUCUUUCUGAGUAGAGUAGUCCUUAAUGAACCAUAGGGCAACAAUUUAAGGACCACAGGAAGUGAUCUUUCCUAGUACAGUUUUACAUGCAAUACUAAUGUCACUUUGCUAGGAGUAAGUAUCAUUUAGUCCUGUAGAAUUUACUUCAGAGUAGAUACAGGAUUGCAAUGCCAGCUGUAAACUGUGUGAUUCAGCUCUGGAUUGCUCAUUAAUAAAAUAAAUGUUUUACUUUUGCA